rnacentral:rRNA from 1 species
GGAGGGCGCAAGCGUUGUUCGGAAUCAUUGGGCGUAAAGCGGGUGUAGGCGGUUUGGCAAGUCGGAUGUGAAAUCCCGGGGCUCAACCCCGGAACUGCAUUCGAAACUGCCUGGCUAGAGUCCCGGAGAGGAUGGCGGAAUUCCCGGUGUAGAGGUGAAAUUCGUAGAUAUCGGGAAGAACACCAGUGGCGAAGGCGGCCAUCUGGACGGUGACUGACGCUGAGACCCGAAAGCGUGGGGAGCAAACAGGAUUAGAUACCCUGGUAGUCCACGCCGUAAACGUUGGGUGCUCGUCGUCGCGGGUAUUGACCCCCCUGCGGUGACCAAGCUAACGCGAGAAGCACCCCGCCUGGGGAGUACGGCCGCAAGGCUA